GAGUCAUAAUUAUGGUGUAGAACAUCCUAUUCCCUUGGAAUAAAACAAAGUCAGGAGCUGGUAUCACUAUUUCCCAGAAUCUUUUACCCAAACUAUUCUCAGACAUUUCAGGGAACAAGAGUACACCUAUAUGCCAGGUCUGUGGGACACUAAAAUAUACAAGAUUUUUUAACGUUUCAGAGGGUUUUGUUUUUGAAUUGCAAUCAACCAAAAUUCACUUUGUGCAUUCUUUGUAAUUAAGGAGAAUUGGCUGUAAAAUGUGCGCAGUAGCAGUAAAAGCGCAAUCACUUUACAAAGAUGGUACGGUACGUAUGGUACUCAAAAAAUAAUCAGUAACAAGUGUCAAAAAUGAUCAAAUUGACAAAAGCAAAUAUUUAAACAAGAAACAAAA